AUCCCAUAUGUCAAGGAAAAUAUCUUCUUGGAUUGCACUCUUUUUGCUGUUAAAAGCUCCACAGUGCAGAUUUUUCGUACUUGUCUCCAGUAGUUGCCAUAUGGUGCCAUGAGAAUGUCCCUGGAAUCAUAAGAAAUCACAUUUGCAGCAAUCGAAUAAGGUCUAUCAGCGAAGAUACGGCCAUGUGUUAUCAAGACGUCUUUGGCAAUUUCUGGUGAUGAAACAAUGAUGGUGGAAAUUUCACCAAGCUGUAGGUGCAUUAAGGGUCCAUGUUGAUUGGCCAAAUCUCUGAGAAUUCGAUGAGGUAGUGAGCCAACUAGCUGAUGUAGGUUGCCUAUAAAGGGUAAUUUCCAUGGCCCUGGUGGCAGCUUCUUGUUUGAGUCUAUGAUUUUCAUUUUCCUUACUAUUUUAACUACGACUGAGAAGAAGAGGAAGGAGGAAAGCAAGAUUAGCAAGGAGGGAAAAGGAAACAGCUCCAUUGGUAUUAUCGAAGAAAGCAUAAGAAGAUUCAAGUUGAGAAUCAAUUCCUGGUUUUGAGGAAUUUGAAUAAGAAGAUAAAGAUUGUAGCUGCUAAUGCAAACUUCUACCUCUUACGUAUUUUCUGAACAAACUAGUUGUAAUGAUUGAGGCUGCCAAGAUAUGUCUAUUUCUAAGAUUAGCUAACUUACAAUUCAAAUGGUGGAUAUUUAACUAUUUCAAAACUAUAAAUCAAAAAGCUUGUGAUAUACAAUA